AAUUCGAUUAGUUUGAUCAUGGCUCAGGACGAACGCUUGCGACGUGCCUAAGAAAUGCAAGUCGAGCGGGGAGCAAUCCCAGCGGCGAACGGUCGCGUAACACGUAAGCAACCUGCCCCAAAGACCGGGACAACAUUCCGAAAGGAGUGCUAAUACCGGAUGUGCCCAUCGGGUGACAUCUCCUGGUGAGUAAAUCAAGCAAUUGGCUUUGGGAGGGGCUUGCGGCCUAUCAGCUAGAUGGUGGGGUAACGGCCUACCAUGGCGACGGCGGGUAGCUGGUCUGAGAGGAUGGUCAGCCGGAUUGGGACUGAGAUACGGCCCAGACUCCUACGGGGGGCAGCAAUUAGGAAUCUUGCACAAUGGGCGAAAGCCUGAUGCAGCGACGUCGUGUGGGGGAGGAAGGCUUUCGGGUUGUAAACCCCUUUUAUCGAGGAAGAAACAAAUGACGGUACUCGAUGAAUAAGCCCCGGCUAACUACGUGCCAGCAGCCGCGGUAAUACGUAGGGGGCGAGCGUUGUCCGAAGUUACUGGGCGUAAAGCGCGCGUAGGCGGGUUGGCAAGUCUGCUGUGAAAGCCCGGGGCUUAACUCCGGAGGGUCGGUGGAUACUGCCAGUCUUGAAGGUGCUAGGGAGAGAUGGAAUUACAGGUGUAGCGGUGAAAUGCGUAGAUAUCUGUAGGAACACCAGUGGCGAA
rnacentral:rRNA from 1 species